GAGAGUGCAUGUCCAUCAAGGUCACGCUUGAGACUAGCAGAGGCGAAACCAGCGGGAAGACGACUUCGCCACCAAGGGCGGGCGGGCCUGCUGGGAUACUCCGGGUGAGUGGGACGCACUGGGCGGGGUUUCGCCGUUCCGAGGAUGUCGGGGAAGGGGGGUCACUGCCAGAUGGAGGUUCCGGUUCCGGUGCAGUGUCUGGCUGGUUGCGUUGCUACGGCAGCGCGGUUGAGCGCUCUCGUCUGUGUGAUCGGGGCUUCGCUGACUUUCCGGCCUACUUAAGCCCCUGGGCCUGGGCCCAGGAAGGGUUUGUUGAACCGGGAGCUAAGAAGGGAAUUGGCUCGUUCGACAGACGUUUUCUGCGCAGCUGUGGCGUGCAAGGCACGGGGCCGGUGCGGGACCUCCAGAGAGACCUGUGCCCAAAGCUUGAGAAAUGAGAAGCAGAUUCCUGGAUUCCAGGUAAAUCAGAGGAACAAACCUGAACAGAAAUAUACAGGAAGUGAUGUGAUGCUGAAGCUUAACGCUUAUUUCAGAAGUCUGGUAUCUGGUGCUCUUAACAGCAGAAACUAUAUUAUUUGCAAAAUCACCACGCUUUUACUUGUAUUAUAUAGUAAUUUUUUAAAAAAUAAAUAUUGACAAUUUGUUCUUGAAAGCCUGAAU
rnacentral:lncRNA from 1 species